UCCAGCCAUGCCGCGUGAGUGAUGAAGGCCUUAGGGUUGUAAAGCUCUUUCAUCAGUGAAGAUAAUGACGGUAGCUGGUAAAGAAACCCCGGCUAACUCCGUGCCAGCAGCCGCGGUAAUACGGAGGGGGUUAGCGUUGUUCGGAAUUACUGGGCGUAAAGCGCACGUAGGCGGAUUAGUCAGUCAGGGGUGAAAUCCCGAGGCUCAACCCUGGAACUGCCUU
rnacentral:rRNA from 1 species